GCGCAGACACGCAUAGGCGCGCGCACGCACCUUUUCCCCGAAGCGCUCGUGGGUAAGUUACGUGCCUUUUACCCCGAACUACUUCAUCGAGUCGCCUAAGACGAGGGAGACUAUUUUCAACUUCAGUAACUUAACACUAUACUUCUUAAGCGCCGACCGCGUGGCAGACCGGAGUCCAGACCCCCGACACGUUUGGAGGCAGAGAGGAAGGAAACGUCAUGAAGGCAGCUCCAGUAGAGACAGCUGGGGCCGCCCAAGAAACUAACCCUGCGCUCUGCGGUGCCACCCCAGGUACGCUCUGCGUUUAUGAUAUUUGAGCUGGUAAUCUGAGGAGCAAAACCAAGAGAUUGUGUCUUUAAAGUGGUCACAGGAAUGUCAGAAACAAGUAGCAACUACAUUUUAAUGGUUUAUCGUGGGGAGGUAGCUGCUUGGCUGCCAGGACCCCAACCUUCGUGUGUUGCAAGUCCGGUCGCCUCUUCAGUGAAGAAGGCCUCUAAGGAGAGCAGGUGGGUCCAGUUUUGUGUUUCCUUGUUGGGAUUUUGCGUGUAAAACUCUCAGAAACAAGGCUGGCCUCUCACACCUGUCAUGCCUCCCUCAGCCUGUUUGUUUUCCUAGACCUUUAUGGAACUGUCAUUGGUUAACAGAUGCCAAGUGGUUUCAUGUUCUAAUCCCCCUUCACCCACCUCACUUCAGCACCACACCCACCUUUGUAAUGAGCCUGAACUUGCCACUGUCCAAACAUGAGCUACUGAACUGAAAACUCAACUUUAUGAUUUCAUACACGGGUUUGGUUUUUUUUUUUUUUCCCUCUCCUAAGAAAAUUUAUCUGAUCUUGGCCAGGUUUUAGUUUGUCAUUAUGCUGCAUGCAAUGUUCUUAAAUUAAUCUUCCCUUUCGCUCCCGUACUUUGGCUUACAUCAGUCAUAUCUUGUUCAAAACUCCCUUACUUGCCCAUAUUCUGAUUACUAAUAUUUCCUAUAGACAAUCUCCUGAAACAGGUCACAGAAUUUUCACAUAGCCAGGUAAGGGAUUGAAGAAAAAGUGUCUUCUAUAAGAGAUAAAAAGUGUGAGUUUUUUUUUUUUUCUUUCUUUUCUUUUCUUUUUUUCUCUUAUAAAGGAUGACUUUGGAUAUACUCGAGGCUUCUUGAGUCUGAGUAUGUCUCAGAACAGAUCUUGGUUCCCUCACUUUCGUCUUUUACUACUUCCUGCCUUGAUUCUAUUCCACGUGGGGGAAAAAAAGUCAACACGAGUGUCAAGCAAAAACUCCACUUUGACGCAAGAUGUUAGAGGUGAACUCUUUGUUCUUUGCCAAGACAUAGGAAAGAAAGGAGAUCAAGUAUUUAGAUUUUCCUCCUCCUCCUUCAUAGAAAUAGCAGUCUUCUCUGGAAAUGGCUCAGUACCACAGAUGCUUCUUAAUCACAGUGUCUUUUAACCUUUUUGAGUCUUAGUCUAAAUAGAGGAAACGUCUCUGCUUUCAGUUCAGUUUCCAAAUGGGGAAACCGUGGACAUAGUCCCUCUGUGAGAUUUUUCUCUCUUUUAAACUUUUCUUUCCCUUCUAAAUUAUGACUGUUCUCGGUGAGUCUUGACAAUAAUUUCUAAAUUAGCCCUGCCUGAACUUGUGUUUGGUAAUCUUAGGUAUUUAAUUGUAAGUGUCAUGGAUUCCUAGCAUUUCCAGUGCAGGUGUUGGAUUAAGAAAGACAGUUUGACAUCCUCAUUGUGCGGGUCAUUUUAGUAUUUUCCAUGCCAGGAGCAAGGUAAUUAACAUUGCUCAGGGCCGGAGCAGUGACUUUCUAAAUGUUACACUUCACAUAUAUGGACUGUGAUGCAUGUCUUACUUCCUGUGUGUCUAAUGCGCUGCUACAAAGGAUUCUGUGGUUAGAAGGCCAUACCGUGCGAGGCAGUGAAGCAAUUCUGUCAAGAAGCAGGGUAGCCAAAGCUGAUAUACAGUCAUGUCUUCUGAAAUGUUUAUUUUACCCAGUUCUUGAAAAGCGAACAGGAACUGUGAUUUUAAAUGGGAUUAAGAGAGAUUAUGUCAUGGAGGAAAUCAGAUGCACCAAGUGUUUAAAAGGAGAGCAGUUUUUGGAGUCGAGACUCAGACAUUUUGUUGUCAGGAAUCUUCCUACAAAUUGUUUCCCGAAGCUCGUAGCUACUUUUGAAAUCAAUCGGCAUUCUGGAUGGAGUAUGAGAAGAAACAACGUGGAGGAGAUAGAGAUUUCUCAGUACUGAUUCCAAAGUUGUUUCACAGUUAACAUUUUUCAGUGCUUCCCAAAUACUUCUUUUUUUCUGGGGAUCAGAAUGCUUAUGCUGCCCCUGUUUCCUUUGUGGUUGGAAUUUGACCUGAGAAUUUAACUAAACCACCAGCAGGUUGCUUGGUGGGCAAAAAACUGAGAGCCAGGGCAAGUGAAUGGUUUAGGAGAGGUUAUGUCCGGGUGAGGGAGGGACACCCGGAGCCCAGGCCUGCCGGGAGCUGCCUGCGCACCUCUUCUGACUGUAUCUCUGCCCCCCAUUCCCUGUCUCACUAUGUGCCUUGUGCCCCAUCAGGCUUUUCAGUCCCUGGUGACUUGGUCUUACCCUUUUUCCUGAGUUCUGGACUGUGUGUUCACCCCAUGUCCCAGCCGUAUUCGUGGAAUAUUCAUUGAGCGCCUGCCUGUCCAACUUUAGUGUGCAGUCUUUCUCCACUGAUUCCAUGUUCCCCUGUUAAGUCACAUCCCGAUUCCUGCCUUUUGAGAUUGCCCAAACGGAUUUUCAUUGGAUUACAGAUCCUCUCUGACUCAGUUUAUUGCAUAUAAGUUUACAUGGAAUAUACUUGAAACUGAAAAAACCAAAUGUCUUUGAAGAUAGUCAAAGGAAAUCAGUGAGGACUGGUAGAAUGGAAAACUGUUUCAAAAUUCCCAAGUGGUAUUGCUCGCUUCCUGGAAUCCUAUAAUUACUGUUAUUUUAUGUUAAAGAAAUUUCCAGUCCAUGAUGUUUCCUACUGAAAAAAAAAAAAAAAUCAGUGAGUGGUUUAUUUUAGACAGAAUUUGAAAUAGAGGAGUUGCUCUUUUCUGAUCACCUGCAUAUACAGUUGUUUGUUACCACAUCAGAGAAAUCAGUGGCCAACUUCAGAAUAGUCCAAAUUAAUGUUCUCAAAUAGAGGAAUAAAUAAGGAUGUGAAAAUUUUUCCAAGUUUAUUCAGGUAUAAUUGACAAAUAAAAUUGUAAGAAGUGUACCAUGUAAAGAUUUGACAUCUGUGUAUGUUGUGGGGAGGAUUCCACCCCACCCCCCGCCACUGAGUUCAUGAAUGUAUCCAUCACCUCACUUUUUUUUUGGUGAGAACACUUAAGUUCUCUCUUAGCGAAUUUCAAUUAUAUAGUGUAAUGUUAACAACUGUAGUCACCAUAUCAUACAUUAGACCCUCAUAUCCUAUUCAUCUAACAACUGAAAGUUAGUACCGUUUUACCAGCCUCUCCCUAUUUCCCCCACACCCAGCCCUUGGAAACCACUUUUCUACUCUGUUUCCACAAGUUAAUCCUCCCUUCCUUCCUCCUUCCUCCUUCCUUCUUCCUUCCUUCCUUCCUUCCUGCCUUCCAAAUUCCACUUAUAAGUGAUGUCGUGUGGUAAUUGUCUUUCUCUCUCUGGCUGAUUUCAUUAACAUCCACCACGGUCAUCCCAUGUUUUUGCAAAUGACAGGAUUUCCUUCUUUUUUAAGGCUGAAUAAUAUUCUGUGGUGUGUGUGUCCAUUUUCCUUAUCUGUUCAUCUGUCCAUGUACAUUUAGGUUGUUUCCAUUUCUUAGAUAUUGUAAAUAAUGCUGUCGUGAACAUAGGAGGACAGGCGUCUCUUCGAGAUGCUGUUUGCCUUUCCUUUGGACGGUCCAGAAGUGGGGUUGCUGCUGACAUGGCAGUUCUGUUUUGAAUUUCUUGAGAACCCUUCAGGUGACUGUACCAAUUUACAUUCUCACCAACAGUGUACAAGGGUUCCCUUUUCCCUCUAUCCUCGCCAGCAUUUAUUCUCUUUUGUCUUUUUGAUAAUAGACAUCCUAACAGGUAUGAUUUGCAUUUCCUGGUUUUGAUUUGCAUUCCCCUGAGGUGGUGGUGGUAGUACCUUUACAUGUAUUUGUUGGCCAUUUGUAUGUCUUCGAGUAAAUGUCUACUUAGGUUUGUUUCCCAUUUUUAAAUUGGGUUGCUUUUUUUUUGCUAUUGAGUUGUAUGGCUUCCUUGUAUACUUUGGAUAUUAACCCUUUAUCAUAUAUAUGAUUUGCAAAUA